GACGAACGCUGGCGGCGUGGAUUAGGCAUGCAAGUCGAACGGUAUCAUCCUUUCGGGGGUGAGAGAGUGGCGAACUGGUGAGUAACACGUAGGUUAUCUACCCUCAAGACGGGGACAACCCAGGGAAACUUGGGCUAAUACCGGAUGUGAGCAACUUUUAGUUGUUUGAAAGGUGGCGUAAGCUGUCGCUUGGGGAUGAGCCUGCGUCCUAUUAGUUAGUUGGUGAGGUAACGGCUCACCUAGGCAAUGAUAGGUAGGCGGCCUUAACGGGUGGUCGCCCACACUGGGAUUGAGAUACGGCCCAGACUCCUACGGGAGGCAGCAGUCGAGAAUAGUCUACAAUGGCCGGAAGGCUGAUAGUGCGACGCCGCGUGAACGAGGGAGCCCGUUCGGGGUGUAAAGUUCUUUUCUAUACGAGCAGUGCUAUAUAUAUGGAUAGUAUAUAUAGAGGGAUAGUAGUAUAGGAAUAAGCAACGGCUAACUCCGUGCCAAGCAGCCGCGGUAAUAUCUACG
rnacentral:rRNA from 1 species